GGAAUCGUUUUUGGUAUUCCUAGCCUAUCGGGUAGCCACUAAUUAAACUAAAAGUUAUAGGAUAAACAUGUAGAGCCGAGGGCGGAGUGCUUGCGGACGCGGGUUCGAUUCCCGCCGUCUCCACCA
rnacentral:tmRNA from 1 species